ACCCCCUAUCGGACUGGAUGUUCAGAAAGUCCCUCUGCCUCUCCCGACGGGUGAAGCGGAUGCAGGUGGAGCGGGAAAACGACCGCAGGC